CAGCAGUGGGGGAUAUUGCACAAUGGGGGAAACCCUGAUGCAGCGACGCCGCGUGAGUGAAGAAGUAUUUCGGUAUGUAAAGCUCUAUCAGCAGGGAAGAAAAAAGACGGUACCUGACUAAGAAGCCCCGGCUAACUACGUGCCAGCAGCCGCGGUAAUACGUAGGGGGCAAGCGUUAUCCGGAUUUACUGGGUGUAAAGGGAGCGUAGACGGCAAUACAAGUCGGAAGUGAAAUACCCGGGCUCAACCUGGGAACUGCUUUGGAAACUGUAUGGCUGGAGUGCUGGAGAGGUAAGCGGAAUUCCUAGUGUAGCGGUGAAAUGCGUAGAUAUUAGGAGGAACACCAGUGGCGAAGGCGGCUUACUGGACAGUAACUGACGUUGAGGCUCGAAAGCGUGGGGAGCAAACAGGAUUAGA
rnacentral:rRNA from 1 species